rnacentral:rRNA from 1 species
UGCAAGUCGUACGAGAGUUUUUAACUCUAGUGGCGGACGGGUGAGUAACACGUGAGAAUUUACCUUUAGGAGGGGGAUAACAAUUGGAAACGAAUGCUAAUACCCCAUAUGCUUUUGAGUGAAAUGGAUUUAUAAUUAUCUGCCUAAAGAAAAGCUCGCGGCUGAUUAGCUUGUUGGUAAGGUAAGAGCUUACCAAGGCGACGAUCAGUAUCUGGUUUGAGAGGACGAUCAGACACACUGGAACUGAGACACGGUCCAGACUCCUACGGGAGGCAGCAGUGGGGAAUUUUCCGCAAUGGGCGAAAGCCUGACGGAGCAAUACCGCGUGAGGGAAGAAUGCCUAUGGGUUGUAAACCUCUUUUUUCAGGGAGGAAUAAAAUGACGUGUACCUGAAGAAUAAGCAUCGGCUAACUCCGUGCCAGCAGCCGCGGUAAGACGGAGGAUGCAAGUGUUAUCCGGAAUCACUGGGCGUAAAGCGUCUGUAGGUGGUUUAAUAAGUCAACUGUUAAAUCUUGAGGCUCAACUUCAAAACCGCAGUCGAAACUAUUAGACUAGAGUAUAGUAGAGGUAAAGGGAAUUUCCAGUGGAGCGGUGAAAUGCGUAGAUAUUGGAAAGAACACCGAUGGCGAAAGCACUUUACUGGGCUAUUACUAACACUUCAGAGACGAAAGCUAGGGUAGCAAAUGGGAUUAGAUACCCC